rnacentral:lncRNA from 1 species
CUGGGGGGAGCCCUCAGCAGGGCUGCGCGUGGUGAUGGUGCCCCUCUGCCUCCUUUGGAAGGGGCUCUCUGCAGUGCUGACAGGCCCUGGCCGGAGAAUGUGGCCUAGGGCUGCCUGUGCUUUGGGGGUGUUCAGCAGCGCUCCAGCCCUCCGUGCCACUAGCAGCAGCAGUCCCUCAGGGCUGUGGAAAACUGCCCACUGAUCCCAUUGAGAACCACAGGCCUCUCGUGAGCAGGGGAAGCCACCUGGUGGUCCUCGCCGUGGGGCGCUGGCUGCCUGCAGUGUGCAGCCUUCAUCCCUGACCAGUGAUGUCUGUAGGUGUCAGGGUGCUUGUGAGAUGGUGAAUGGCCCUAGGGCACCAUCCUGAACAGCGUCCCCCACAAGCAGUCAGGUAAGGCCCCUGCUCUCCCAGUACCUCUGAGAGCUCACUGCAGGUCUGCAGGCUGGUGAUUCAGGAAUAAAACAGGGUGAAUGUGAACUCUUCACCCUUUAACUGUACACAUAGAACCUGUCCCACUCGACACAGCUCCUGUCCUCAAGUGUACCGAAGACAUGAAGCAAUCGAGCCUCCCAGUCACCAGCUCUCAGGCACGGUAACAAGUCCAUCUGUGCUGGUGAGAAUCUCCCUGAGUAACGUGGCCCACAGGUUUUGGUGGAACGCUUUCCCAUUUUUCCUUUUUGUUUCGUAUGUACUUUCUAGGUGCUAAUAGAGGUAUACAGAGUCUUAAUUCUCCAGGAAAUACAGUUGACGGGGUUGUACAUGAUGAUCUUUAAAUAAAAUAUGCAAAUCAGCCUCCCACACAAGCUGAUCUACUUGGGUUUCUCACAGCUCAUUAAAGUAGCGUGGAGAGUCCCCAUGGUCCAGCUCUGCAGGUGGGACUCUGCCGCGGGCAGGAGGCGUGGGUUGUCUGGAGUGGCACCACAGCGCCAGGGUUUCCGCUCUCCACAGGGAAAUGUGGUGUGUCAUGUCCUGUAGCUGUCGUGACUGGAAGAGCCUUCUAUAAAGAAGUUCUUCUCCAUGGGUGUUCACGGUCCGUCCCUCUUCCAUAUAGGUCGACUUUGGCUCGGUAUUAGGAAGACAUACAUUAUUACUGACGUUUUCAGGUGAUGAAGAUGUCCUUUUUGAGCUAUAGUCAACCUUUAUCAUCCUUAAAAAUGGUACAUUAGAGAAGUUUUCCAGCUAAAACUCAGAAUGAGACAGGAAUAUCUGCUAUUUCAGUUGACAUUGUGGAAGUUCUGAGGCAGGAUAAAAGAAAUGCAAAAGAAAGGAGACAAAGGGCAGAGAGACACGUGAACCCGAAAGCCUCGAGCCAAUGCACCCCCUUCCUCCAGGCCUCUCACUCCCACACUUCUGGGAAAUCUGUAAAUGUGGAGUCCCUGGAAGUUCACCCACUUGUGAAAGUCACCUUGUGCACCGUUGGUCAGCCUGUGCCGUGAACAGAUGAAGCAAUGGCGGGACACUGGCUUAAGAACCCUGUUGUCCAGGGACUUUGAAGCGUUGCCUGCUGAUCAGGUCUCAAAGACCACGUGAGCCCGAAGAACCUGAGGACACAUCAGGCCCCAGGACCCUGGGCGAUUACCAGACCAGGGCACCGCACUCUGCCGCCAGGCCCCUUGUCCCUCAGCGCACAUCGCCUGCCCUCCUCAGGUGGUCUCUGCCUCUGCUGAGUGUCCGUAAGCCCACUUCUGUGCACUUUGACCAGGACCUCACUUGCCCCAAGCUGAGUUCCCUCUCCAGCCCUCCUCGGACCCCUGCUGCUGACAGCUCUACCCAAGGUCAAGUCUUCAAACAGAAAUGAAGGGAAGGUGGUGGAGGGAUGAGAAGUCGGCAGGUGGGGAGGACCUGUGCUGCAGAGCUGAGAGGCUUGCCUUUGGUUUUGGGAUUUUUGUACCAUUUUACAACCUCCCAUGAAUUGAUUGGCAUGAAGGUGGCCAAGGAAUUCCAAGUUGUUGCAGAAAACGAUAUUCUUCCUGCAUCAAAGUGUUCUCUACAUGAUAAAUUUAAAGGGAAAAACUAUUAGAACUCUUUAGAUAGAGGGCUCUCCAAAUUAAAAGGAUUUAGUCAGCCAUUACGUAACAAGAACUUUGAGGCUGCUUUUGCUGAAAACACGGGACUCUUCCCUUGGGUCUGCAAAAUGUGGAAAGAAAUUUACAUUUCUCCCUCUGUUCGCUUCUGUCUCCUCUGUGCUGAGCCAGUCAGCUUGGAUUCCAGGAGCAGCCGGUCUGGCCAGAAACAUCUUGUAAUGAGUAGAAACUGCCCGGCUCCUCCCACCUGCCACAGCCACCUUCUCAUCCCCAGACAGUGGUCAGCCAGACUGCAGUAGUCUGGCUCCUGUCAGUACCCCAAGGACAAGACUGAGGACGUGGUUCUUCCUAAUGUGGCCAUAAUGACCGAAGUUUCUUUUCUGCUUUCACUGUUAUUUUUCCCAUUUGGUAAAGGACAAGUUCCAGAUGUGACUAGGACCCUGGCAUUGGGGCUCCAACCUAGGACGAGUACAAUUAGAUACUAGCUAGAAAGGACCAGGUCUACUGACACAUUCUUGCAAUUAGCAGCUACAAGCUAGGUAGCAUCUAAGUGUCUGCCAAACCUACAGUCAGGAGCUGUUGGUGAUGACAGUUUGGAAGGGAAAGCAUGAGCUGUUUACUCUGAACUUGUGCUGGCCACUGAUGAGGGUCCCAGGGCAGCUAGAAGCAGGAAGGGCCAUGGGUUCGUACAGUCACUGAAGAGAAGUGCUUGUUUCUGGAUUGGGGAAGUAAACAGGAAGGUUUUUGAGUCGAGAUGUGCAGUCACAAUGUGGAUAGCUUCUCUCCUCCCUCAAUUCUCUAGCCUCUAGUUGAAUUCAGGAUAGCUCAGACUCCUUCUGUGUCACUUUCUGAUGGAGAGACGCAGGGUCAGGAGCAGUGGCACCACCUGUGAUGCAUUCUUGUCAAGAACAAUCAAUUGCCAUCUAACCAAGUUCUCCUCCCUGACGUCCAGUCCAUGAUGUCAACCGGAAAUACAGCAGGUCCUUGUUUCCAACAAGACACCUGCGUCAGGCCCUGGUAGACCAGGCUACGGAUCAUGGAGUCAUUUAUACUCAGGUUCCCCAUCAUCAGCCUGGAACUGAGUUCUCAUCUGCCUCCUGAGGAAUCAGGAUGCAGGGGCCCAUGGCUCACAGCCAGUGUCCUUCCUGCCCUUAAUCAUCACCGCUCUUGACCUUUAGGAAGACUGCCCUGAAAUAACCCUGAAAUAAAUUUUCUAUUACUCUGUCUCCCUAGACCUGCAGCUUACAAGAAAGUAAAUUCAAAACGACUAAUCUUUUUUUUUUUAUAUCAGAAUUCUCUUUUUUUAAUACCUCUAUUUUAUUUACUUUGUGUGGUGCUGAGAAUGGAACCCAGUGCCUCACACGUGCAAGGCAAGUGCUCUACCGAUGAGCCCCAGCCCUGACUCAUCUUGUUAGUGGUUAUUUUGCUUUUUACAGCCCUUCUCUGUCUGUAGAACCCACCUCUUCUGCUCAGCAGCCUGUCGGAACUCUGAUUCUAUCUCGUGGAGUAUUG